rnacentral:ncRNA from 1 species
AAACGCAUGAGCCGGUGCCCAGUCUCUCACCCUGCCUACGUCGCUGCCAUCUCAUGGUGCCGCCAGCGACCGGCGCGGGUGAAGGGGCUGGGCUGAGAACACACGGCCUUGAACUUGAUCUGGGUAAUACCAGCGAAAGGAUCAUGCACCCUAACACA